rnacentral:rRNA from 1 species
UACGGAGGAUGCAAGCGUUAUCCGGAAUGAUUGGGCGUAAAGCGUCCGCAGGUGGCAAUGUAAGUCUGCUGUUAAAGAGUCUAGCUCAACUAGAUACAAGCAGUGGAAACUACAUAGCUAGAGUACGUUCGGGGCAGAGGGAAUUCCUGGUGUAGCGGUGAAAUGCGUAGAGAUCAGGAAGAACACCGGUGGCGAAGGCGCUCUGCUAGGCCAUAACUGACACUGAGGGACGAAAGCUAGGGGGAGCGAAUGGG